UACAGAGGUGGCAAGCGUUGUUCGGAAUUACUGGGCGUAAAGGGCGCGUAGGCGGUUCGUUAAGUCCUGUGUGAAAUCCCCCGGCUCAACUGGGGAACUGCACAGGAAACUAGCGGGCUUGAGUUCGGGAGAGGGAAGCGGAAUUCCCGGUGUAGCGGUGAAAUGCGCAGAUAUCGGGAGGAACACCAAUGGCGAAGGCAGCUCGCUGGGACGUUACUGACGCUGAGACGCGAAAGCGUGGGGAGCAAACAGG
rnacentral:rRNA from 1 species